UUUAUUGCAUUAAGGUCACAUGGGUUUGCAGAGCCUUGUACUGCCGAGUUGUCUGCUAUACCCGUUUGUGCGAGCUGAUGCCAAGUUUUAACACCCACACCAGACAGAUCAAAAGCCAAGAACAGGAGAAAGUGUUAAACACCACACUUCUGGAAUAAACCAUUAAGAAGAGCAUGGAAACUUAGCAUCCUUAAACACUGGACAGUGAGAACCUAUGGAAGUGAGAACCUGUAGAAGGGUUGGAGGUGCAUGGUGCUCCAAAAAAAUAUCCCCCCAAAUGUAGGGAAAAUAUUCUCAGGCUCAGCUCUUUAUUUCUUCUUAAUCAAGGCCAUAGUGUCACUUAUGCCAAGGGUUUGUUUGAGGCAGAACUGAUUGAGACAGUAUUCCUGCUGCCACCCUGGAACCCAGAGUGUGAUGGUGGCUCCUCUGUAGCAACAGCACCACUCUGCAGCAGGAGAGGUGCAGGGUGACAUCCAAAGGAUUACUCAUUCCCUUCUGCUUGCAGAUAAGUGAUGCUGGCAGUCCCUAAUGCACUUCCUGGGCAUUGAGUCCAGAUGGCCCCUUGUGGCUGAAGCACCAUGCAAGUUCUCAGUCUCAAUUCUGAUUCUUCCCAUCCCCCAAACUUCCCCCAAACUGCAAGUAUUGCCUGAAAUGUCACAGGCAUCUCAACCUUAUCACCAAUAAACAAUUUUGAGCAACUUCUGGUCCUUAGCAGUGUUCUUGUGGUCUCCCCUUGCAUGAACAGCAGCAAUACAAGUGACUGCUGGAUUGCUCAUUGUAGCAAAACUCAGCAAAUAAAUAAUCAUGUUAACAUACUUCAUU